rnacentral:sRNA from 1 species
UCUUAGGGGUGCUAGGGUUCCGGUUCAUCGAGCGUCUGGUCCGAGAGCAGCCCGGCGUGGGUUCAUCCGUUCGCGAGACCGGAUGCGCACGCGCUACACGGCGGGACAAAAGCCCGGGAGAU